rnacentral:lncRNA from 1 species
GUGAGCAAGAAUCUCGGUGUCAUGUGAGAGCAGAAGGAUGACUACGAAUGGGCAGACCGACGCGAUGUAUUCCAGUCACGCCAUCGUUCGGGCCCCAACAACAGGAGACAUAGGCUUUACGGGAUCAAGGGAAUCGUAUGCAUGGACUUGUUGCGCAGGCAGAGACAACAGAGCCACGAUGAAUUUCUCGUCGGCAAUGUGAGCCACCACGGUGCUGCUCGGUGGCGGGGACUGCGCGCUUCGUAUCACGGUAAAAGUUCUUUCCUAGGUUUGCAUUUUCCUCCUCUAGGCGUAGGACCAUUCGAAUCUUGAACCUUGGCACCCAGGCCUCGGACUACUGCACGCCGGUAGCUCGCCGCCAUGGAUGCAUGCUUUGCCGCCGCGUCCGACCUCGGGGAAGAAAAGAAGUACCAGCGUUGUAGUUUUUUCAUAAAGUGGCCAAGAUUAGAUCCAUGGAUGGGGGUGCCUCUGUCGUUGGUUUUCUGAUGAACGGUUGUGUUUAGGUCUAGCUAUACCUUUUUGGGGUUUCAAUCCGUGUCGUCCGGAUCUGAUCAAGCAGAUGUGAUGGGAUUGGGGAUUCAUAGAAUUUAGACCCUAGGAUUUAGAUCUGGUGGCCACAGUCUUGUACCGGUUCGUUUAAAGCCAUGAUCUAAUCUGCGUCGUCACCUUUUAAUCGGACGGCUCUGUGCGUAUGAUACCUCUUCAGUAGACUCUUUUGCUUAUAAGCCCCUAGGUUUUGAGCAAUCAACCCGUCGUCCACCCGAAUGUCUCCCUGAGUCUUAGUUACAUUUGCACUAGGGCCCCUGUUGUUCUCUGUUUUUGCGUGCAAGGUCCAGGAGCAGAGAAAAUAAAUAAAUAAUUAUAGAAAAUUAUUUUUAGUAUAUAAAUAAUUUCAGAAACUCAUUUUAUUUAUAGAAAAUUCAUACUAACUCUUUUUAGUCUAUUCUAGUUUCUAUAAUUUUGUAAGAUUAUUGUUUAUCAUCUAGUGCCACUGUUCUGACAUGAAAGCCCCCAUUAAAAUUAAUCUCUUAAUUAAUCUUGUAUCAAAUACAUAAAACCUUUAGAAAAUCAUAACUCCUUCGUUUUAAUUCCGAAUUGACUCGUUCCAGUUGAGUUAGAUUCAUAUAAGUAUUUACUACGCAGUAACAACAUUAAUUAUACCAUAUUGCAUAAUUUUAUAGUUAGAUAUUCAUUUAUCCUAUGUCUACUAGAUUAGCUCUUCUAAAUCAAGACUAACCUGACCAUAAUUAUAAUGUGGUUAAAACAUGAUCUCAAGUUACGUUAUAAUUAAGAUUAAAGUUGAAUUGAUUAUUUAAGAGUAUAUUUUCUCAUAUGAUGUAUAUUAAUCAAUUUAUAAUAUAGUUUAAAUCACGUAAAUCUUCCAUAGAUCAUAACUCCUUAACCGUAACUCCAAUUUUAGUGGUUCUCGAACCCACGACCUCAUAGUGACACAUAGAUUAUUAUUAUGUGGUUUGUUCUUAUGUAUGGUGUGAUGUUAAUUUUGUCUAUACCAUGUUUGUUUGUAUUGCUACGACUAGCAGUGAGGUCACGAGGAUCUGAAGAAUCAUACUGGUAACUGGAAUCUCAAGUGCCAGACAAGUUGUGCCCUUGACCACUUUUUACCCAAUAAUAUUCUUUAAUGUCACUUAUUCAUGCAUAAGUUUAAUUUUGAUGGGACCCAAUAGGUCACCCUAGUCUGUUUAUCCUUUUACCUUGUUUACCCCUGAUUCACUUGGGUAGUUUGCUAUUGCUUUAUUUGAUUUUGGGUUAGUAUUUCAUUAUAUCCAUGUUCCAAUUAUUCUGUUAUUUUAUUUAUGUUCAUGUCAAGAUCAUUAUCUUUAAUUGGAACAUGGAGCUUAACUUGAGAAACACAUGCCAAUAAGGGUGGAAUGGGACGCCCUUGGCUGACUAAUUAGGAAAGCUAGUGGAAGACUACCUUACCCGAAAGGGGCAAGGGCAGUAGGGGAGUUGCAUGCAAGGAGGUUAUCGGGUUGAUUUUGCUGCGAUGGUGUUUAGACGGGGGAUUCUUGCAAGUGCUCUUCCCAUAAACUGUAGCGGGUUUUCGGAAGCUAGUGGAACUUUGUAAAGGCCUCAUAGUGGAUCCCUAGCCAUUCACCUCGGUAGUGUCUAAGGGCCUUGCAAACCCUGGUGACAUGGGAUACACAACUUAUGGGUACAUGGUACAACCUCUACAGAGUGUAAAACUGGUAUACUAGCCGAGCUCACGGUCAUGAGCAGCUCAAGACUCUCGCAUGAUUAAAUUAUGGAACUUAAAUUCAAUUUGUCAUUUGCAUUGCAUGGGAUUAUUUAUUAAUUUUGUUCUAUUAUUAUUUAUUAUGGUAUUUACUUACACUUAGUAACUGCUAAUAAAAUUUUGACUAACUUAUAAAAGCAAUGCUCAGCUUUAACCCCUAUUGUUGAUCAGCCUUACACAUCACAUGAACUCCCACCUUUGGUGAGUUCAUGCCACAUUAUUCCCCACAACUUGUUGAGCGAUGAACAUGUGUGAGCUCACCCUUGCUGUCUCACACCCCCCACAGGAGAAGAACAUGUGGUUCAGGAGGAGCUACACAUCGAGGAGUUCGAUUCAAUCUAGGUGGUGUUUCCCAGUCG